rnacentral:rRNA from 1 species
GACGAACGCUGGCGGCGUGCUUAACACAUGCAAGUCGAACGAAGUGGCGAACGGGUGAGUACUACGUGGGUACCUUGCCCUCCUUUUUGGGAUAAGCCUUGGAAACGGGGUCUAAUAUCGAAUCCAGGCGGAGGGGAUCGCGGCCUCUCAGCGUGUUGGUGGGGGGAUGGCCUACCAAGGCGGUGACGGGUAGACGGCCUGAGAGGGGGACCGGCCACAUAGGGACUGAGAAACGGCCCAGACGCGGACGGGGGGGAGAAGUGGGGGAGAUGGGACAAGGGGCGAAAGCGUGAUGCAGCGAGGACGAGUGGGGGAUGAAGGCUUUCGGGUUGUAAAACUCUGGCGCUAGCGAAGGGGUAGGUGGAGAAGAAGCGCCGGCUAACUACGUGCCAGCAGCCGCGGUAAUAC